rnacentral:rRNA from 1 species
UAGGGAAUCUUCCGCAAUGGACGCAAGUCUGACGGAGCAACGCCGCGUGAGUGAAGAAGGAUUUCGGUUCGUAAAACUCUGUUGUUAGAGAAGAACAGCGCAUAGAGUAACUGUUAUGCGUGUGACGGUAUCUAACCAGAAAGCCACGGCUAACUACGUGCCAGCAGCCGCGGUAAUACGUAGGUGGCAAGCGUUGUCCGGAUUUAUUGGGCGUAAAGCGAGCGCAGGCGGUCAAUUAAGUCUGAUGUGAAAGCCCCCGGCUCAACCGGGGAGGGUCAUUGGAAACUGGUUGACUUGAGUGCAGAAGAGGAGAGUGGAAUUCCAUGUGUAGCGGUGAAAUGCGUAGAUAUAUGGAGGAACACCAGUGGCGAAGGCGACUCUCUGGUCUGUAACUGAAGCUGAGGCUCGAAAGCGUGGGUAGCAAACAGG